rnacentral:tRNA from 1 species
CUCUUAGUGGCAUCUUGGUGGUGCGAUAAGACUUAUGAUCAAUAGGUUAUGGGUUCGAUUCCCACAAAGGAGG